rnacentral:rRNA from 1 species
GACAGAGGGUGCAAACGUUGUUCGGAAUUACUGGGCGUAAAGCGCGUGUAGGCGGCAGCGUGUGUCGGGCGUGAAAUCCCACGGCUCAACCGUGGAAGUGCACCCGAAACUGCGCAGCUAGAGUCCUGGAGAGGAAGGUGGAAUACUUGGUGUAGAGGUGAAAUUCGUAGAUAUCAAGUGGAACACCGGUGGCGAAGGCGGGUCUCUGGGCCGAUACUGACGCUGAGGAGCGAAAGCGUGGGGAGCGAACAGG